UACGUAGGGUGCAAGCGUUGUCCGGAAUUAUUGGGCGUAAAGAGCUCGUAGGCGGUCUGUCGCGUCGGAUGUGAAAAUCCAGGGCUCAACCCUGGACCUGCAUUCGAUACGGGCAGACUAGAGUUCGGUAGGGGAGACUGGAAUUCCUGGUGUAGCGGUGGAAUGCGCAGAUAUCAGGAGGAACACCGAUGGCGAAGGCAGGUCACUGGGCCGCAACUGACGCUGAGGAGCGAAAGCAUGGGGAGCGAACAGG
rnacentral:rRNA from 1 species